rnacentral:lncRNA from 1 species
AAUUGCGGAAUUUGAUAUCGCUAUGAAUCACAUUUGUUGGUUAACCCUGUAAAGUUUCAAUAUUCAUAGUCAUUUAAAUAGUUUGGGUUUAUUAGGCAAUUGACGGUUGGUUUUUAAUUGCUGAAUUUGAUAUCGCUAUGAAUCACAUUCAAAGACUGUUGUUAGGGUUCGGUUAUGGUUGCAUUAUAGAGACAUUAGAAACCUUUGAUUUCGC